UGUUUUCUUUUGCAAUGGUGCAGGAAAGUUGAACAUUUUAACAGUAUUACCCGUGUGAUCGACUUUAAAUGGUUAGAUGAUUUGGUUAAAGAAAAAACCACGAAUCUCCUUGUUUUGGUAUCCGGAAGAGUUGUUUCUGCAACACCUUUUAUAUGCAAAUUUAAUGGUCCUUUGGGUUUGGGUGUUGUUUUUGAGGAUAAGGCCGAAGUGAAUCAUGAGAUCAAGUUGCAAGAUGAUGGCGUGAUAAACAAGUCUAUAAGUGUACUGUUACAACGAAAGGAGGCUCCUUGGUAUCUAGUAAGAUAUAUAUUUAUUUGCCCCCACAACUAGAGCCUGCCUUUUU